AGCGCAACCCUUGUCCUUAGUUACCAGCACGUAAUGGUGGGCACUCUAAGGAGACUGCCGGAGACAAACCGGAGGAAGGUGGGGAUGACGUCAAGUCAUCAUGGCCCUUACGGCCUGGGCUACACACGUGCUACAAUGGUCGGUACAGAGGGUUGCCAAGCCGCGAGGUGGAGCUAAUCCCAGAAAACCGAUCGUAGUCCGGAUCGCAGUCUGCAACUCGACUGCGUGAAGUCGGAAUC
rnacentral:rRNA from 1 species